UGGGGAAUAUUGGACAAUGGGCGAAAGCCUGAUCCAGCCAUGCCGCGUGUGUGAAGAAGGUCUUCGGAUUGUAAAGCACUUUAAGUUGGGAGGAAGGGCAGUAAGCGAAUACCUUGCUGUUUUGACGUUACCGACAGAAUAAGCACCGGCUAACUCUGUGCCAGCAGCCGCGGUAAUACAGAGGGUGCAAGCGUUAAUCGGAAUUACUGGGCGUAAAGCGCGCGUAGGUGGUUCGUUAAGUUGAAUGUGAAAGCCCCGGGCUCAACCUGGGAACUGCAUCCAAAUCUGGCGAGCUAGAGUAGGGCAGAGGGUGGUGGAAUUUACUGUGUAGCGGUGAAAUGCGUAGAUAUAGGAAGGAACGCCAGAGGCGAAGGCGACCACCUGGGCUGAUACUGACACUGAGGUGCGAAAGCGUGGGGAGCAAACAGG
rnacentral:rRNA from 1 species